CCUGGCGGCCGUAGCGCGGUGGUGGUCCCACCUGACCCCAUGCCGAACUCAGAAGUGAAACGCCGUAGCGCCGAUGGUAGUGUGGGGUCUCCCCAUGCGAGAGUAGGGAACUGCCAGGC
rnacentral:rRNA from 1 species